UACGUAGGGUGCGAGCGUUGUCCGGAAUUACUGGGCGUAAAGAGCUCGUAGGUGGUUUGUCGCGUUGUCCGUGAAAACUCACAACUCAAUUGUGGGCGUGCGGGCGAUACGGGCAGACUGGAGUACUGCAGGGGGAGACUGGAAUUCCUGGUGUAGCGGUGGAAUGCGCAGAUAUCAGGAGGAACACCGGUGGCGAAGGCGGGGUCUCUGGGCAGGAACUGACGCUGAGGAGCGAAAGCGUGGGGAGCAAACAGG
rnacentral:rRNA from 1 species